AUGACCGAAGGUGAACAUGACCGUAAGGUCAUAGAUUUUUAUGGAACCUUGAAAGAGAUCAUUCAGUUAGAUUAUAACUUGAAAGAUAGGUCAAUUGUUUUGUCUAAAUGUGACUGGUUUAAACUUGAUGGAAAGAAGACUGAACUUAAAAAUGAUGGUUUUUUUCAAAAGCAUACAUGUUGGAAGUUUUUGGUACAAGGAUGA
rnacentral:rRNA from 1 species